UUGUGUGUAUGCAUUUUCUGAAUCUGGGUUCUUCUACUUCUUGAAAUUUCAGCAUCUUAGUUAAAGAUGCAUGCAAGAUAACGGGUA